CACAUUUUCUUUUCAGAUUCUUUUCCAUUAUAUGUUGUUAUGAGAAAUUGAAUAUAGUUCCCUGUGCUAUACAGGAGGUCCUUGUUGUUUAUUAUGUAUACAGUAAUGUGUAUCUGUUAAUCUUAAA